UACGUAGGGUGCGAGCGUUGUCCGGAAUUAUUGGGCGUAAAGAGCUCGUAGGCGGCCCUGUCGCGUCGGAUGUGAAAGCCCGGGGCUUAACCCCGGGUCUGCAUUCGAUACGGGCAGGCUAGAGUGUGGUAGGGGAGAUCGGAAUUCCUGGUGUAGCGGUGAAAUGCGCAGAUAUCAGGAGGAACACCGGUGGCGAAGGCAGGUCUCUGGGCCACUACUGACGCUGAGAAGCGAAAGCAUGGGGAGCGAACAGG
rnacentral:rRNA from 1 species